UACGUAGGGUGCGAGCGUUGUCCGGAAUUAUUGGGCGUAAAGAGCUUGUAGGCGGUCUGUCGCGUCUGCUGUGAAAAUCCGGGGCUCAACCCCGGACUUGCAGUGGGUACGGGCAGACUAGAGUGUGGUAGGGGAGACUGGAAUUCCUGGUGUAGCGGUGAAAUGCGCAGAUAUCAGGAGGAACACCGAUGGCGAAGGCAGGUCUCUGGGCCACUACUGACGCUGAGAAGCGAAAGCAUGGGGGAG
rnacentral:rRNA from 1 species